GCUUGGGCAGGGAAAUCAAUGAUUACCCAAAUCCAUCAGCUCAGCUUCUCUCUCAGUUACACUUGCUACAAUGAGACAAGGUCUUGCUAAGUUGCCCAGGCUGGUUUUGAAAUUGUGAUCCUCCUGUUUCAGUCUCCUGAGCUGAAGCUCAGGUGGGAUUACAGUAGCAGGAACCACAUGAAGAGUUUAAUAAAGGGGGACCAGCAUUAUAAAGAAGGUGAUGUACCUGAAGGAGCUCACAUGUAAGACAUACAGCCAGGCUUCAUAAGAGACCUGAAAAGCAGAAGCUGGAAAGUCAGAACCCUGAUUGGAGCUACUUCUCAAGGGUGUACCAUCUCUCCAUCCUGCGCCUCUCUGCACUUCCAUGUUAAGGAGAUUGAAAUAGGGUCCUUGCGCUUGCAAGGCAGGUGUUGGAACCACUGAGCUAAAUCCCUGGCCCAUGAAGGUCUAUUUUCAAGUCACAGACCAAGACUUGUACAGGAUGGUAGAAGAAAAUCUUCUGGAUUAGAAACCUCCUUCCCGCAGCAUGCAAGAUGCUCCUAUCAACCUGGUGAGAGGAUCAUUUUGACCAAUGAUUCUUACCCAGUGGUAUUCAAUCUUCUGAGGCCACAGAGCCCUUCUGUGGUAAGUGCAGACCACCUCCCCAGAAAAACAACUAUGUAUAUUAAAAAUAUUUCUGUUAACAAUUGUAGGCUCCCUGCAAUUUCUCCAGGUGUUUAAACACCCUGUCUUAGAUCAUGGCUCCCUUAACCAUAGAAUCCUACAAUGUUAGUAC
rnacentral:lncRNA from 1 species